rnacentral:lncRNA from 1 species
CUCAUUACUCAUUACUAUCAUUCACUGUUGUACCAGACUGAUAAAUUGUCAAAUUUUAAUGCUGAAUAAUUGCUUUUCAGUCCUGCCAGCUUUUUCUGGAAAUGUCCCUGCUGCCCUGAAAUAUAUAUUUCCAUCAGCAAAAAUAACACGCUUGGGAAAUUGGUAAGUAAAACAUUGUACGCAUUGACUUAAACUUGGUGUAAUUAGUCUUACCAAUCAACCACACUGAUUUAAACACGCAUAUACUUAAGUGCUUAUCGAAUAAGUGUUUAUCAAAUAGGAAACGUGCUUAAACCGUUUUCAUUAAUUUCUAGGCUAUAUAGAGAUGAUAUCCUAAGGAAAUAAUAUGAAAAUCAAUUAUUGGAGCUGGUUUGGAGACGUAAGUUGCAUGUUUAGCACCUGUACACUCAUUAUCACCACCCUACAAAAAAGUAAAAUCGCUAUCUUACACAUUGAAAUCCUAGUGUGAAGUUUUCACCACCUUAAAAAAUAGACAUGUUUCCUGUGUUGUAUAAUGGCUGAUAACAAUAAAAUUGUAUAGCUUUAACCCCCUGGACCUAUAAUUGAGAUCAAUAAUGAGUGUGCUAAAUCCUAGCAGUCACAGAUUUUACUUUUCUGAAUAUUGAAGGAAUCCCAUGUCUGUAUGCCAUAGCCCUGUAACCAGUGAGAAAGCCAUUGAUAAUGGCUCUGUAAUUGUAUUCAUUUUCCCAUUCCUUUUACAUCCAUAUAAACCCACACAGACUUUGUUAACCAUUUUUUUCAUAGGUUUUCUGUUAAGAAUGACCUCAAAUGGUGCUGCACUUAUCUUCUUGAUGCAACUGAUCCCUUGUUCAUUGAGAUCGGGAGAGCAUUUGUUGAACAACAAUUGCAAGGUGAUAUAUAAGCUUCUUUCUAACUUAAUUGGCUACAAUCCAGAUGUCAGUUAACAUUUGAGAUAUUUGAUUACGUUUUCACCCAGAAUAUGGAAGAACCAGCCACAUAUACAACUGGUAAGUUUUUCUUUGCUCAUCGGUUAAUUAUAGAACUUAAAUUUUUGUUGCUCCAAUAUUUUGUGAAAAUGGCUGUAUUUUAGUUAAUGGAAUACUGAUUGAACACUUUCUUUUAUGUAAUAUCGCAUACUUAAUUAAGUAUGGAGGUCCCUUCUAGCAUACAUUUGUAUUGUUUAGUUCUAUGUAGGCUCCUCAGAUAAUAACACAUAAAUAAUUUCAUGCUUAAUCCCCACCCUCAGAUAAUUGUGAUGUGGCUGCCACAUCUUCCCUGUUAAGGAUUUUCAUGUUCUUUCAAUUCAUCCAUCAGUGACAUACCUUUUACAAGUAAAAACAUUCUUGUUGAUCCAGUCUUAACUUUUUAAUGAAGCUAAUUGUGUUUCAGUAUUGUUUUUGUUAAACUACAUAAUGAUGUGUGUAUCUGUACUGGGCUAAGUAUAAUAUAACGACCAGGUCAAUUAUUAAGUUAUGUUGUUACUUUAUUACUUUCAUUUGAUUUCUUAUGGAGUUGGAAUGUUUACUAUUAAUUACAGAUAUACUAUUCAAUUAGGUUUGGAUGCUAACAUAUGUUUUUGAAUAAUAUUUUCAAAACAUGUAAAUAUUACAAGUUUAUGGAUGCAGUUUACUAACUUUACUAGUAUGUCAUGAGUUUAUUAAACUCUCAAGUUAGAUAGCUAUUGGUUUUUAUUAAAGACAAAUGUGAUCAAUGCAUUGAAAUCUAGGGAAACGAGUAUUUUUAUCAGUAAAAAAUAGAUAUUUGUGUUAUAGAUCUCCAGAGCAUUUGAAUUAUGGUUUAUACGUGUAUGCACCAUCGCACUUUAGUAUAUUUCUUUUGUUCAGUAAGAACUUGUUCUUUCAUUCAUUAACGUAUGUUAUGAUGGAUCUAUCACAGUGAUACCUUUGAUGAGAACACCCCACCCAUUGAUGAUCCAGAGUACAUUUCUUCAUUAGGUGCGGCAAUCUUUAAUGGAAUGCAGAGUGGUGAUAAUGAUGCUGUUUGGUUGAUGCAGGUGACAUAAAUUAGUUAGUUUUUUUUAAAAAAAGGAUCUUAACUUGAUACUUCUAAGUGCUAUCUUUUGUAUAUAACUAAACUAACAUCUUCAUGAAAGUAGAUUUAUGCAUCCUUUAAACUCAAAUGAUUCUUUUUAUUUAUUUAUGCAGGGAUGGCUAUUUUCAUAUGAUCCGUUCUGGAGACCUCCUCAAAUGAAGGUUUUUAUUUAUACUUAUUCACCUCCCAACCGCAUUGCUUGUUCUGACAGCAAGUCUUAAGCAAACCUUGUCUGAGAUCUGGCUAUGUAAACCAUUCUUGCUGCCCUAAUAUUUUUGGAUCAGUUUAUUCAUGUCUUUGUUUGGAAGGAUUUCUAUUAUAUCGAUCCCGAUCAAAUUUUAUGGCUUUUUCCAUUAUAAUUUGAUGGUUUCUAGGAAUCUCUAUUAAGCAUAGACUGUAACUAACAAUCUUCACAACAGUUUUCUUUUUCCUUUUCCCUUCUUCGGGUUCUUUCAGUGCCUGUGUAAGAUAAAUGGCCAGAAUAAUCUAUAUACACAUUUGAAGAAAUAGAUUCUUUAGUCAAUAUAAAUGCUUUUUAGAAUUAUGAGUUCACCCUGGUUAUUUAUUUUAACUUAAUUAUCAUUCAUAUGUGAUUUUUCUUUGUGCUUGUUUUCAGGCCCUUUUGCAUUCUGUUCCUGUGGGAAAGCUGGUGGUUCUUGACCUGUUUGCUGAAGUAAAACCCAUAUGGAUUUCCUCAGAGCAGUUUUAUGGUGUUCCUUAUAUCUGGAAAGUCCUUUUCCAUCACAUAUUUAUAAAUAAAAAUAGGGUAAAUUACACUCCCUUUCAUGAGAGAAGCUCAGAUUACACUCCACUCUCCCUUUAUGUUCAAAUCUACACCUUAAUUCCUUGAGAAGUAAAUAUACAUUACACUUUAGUUCAUUUUGAGAAUCAAAAAUAGAGAAAAAAUUAUGCAUAAGAAACUUAAUUAUAUUAAAAUGGACUAAAGUGUAAUGUUUAUUUACUUAUCACACAAGGGCGGAAAGGGUAGAUUUCAACAUGAGAUGGGAGUAGUAGUUCAAGUUUUUUACAGAGAAAGAGAGUGAAAUUUUCUCAAAAACAAUAAUGGCCACACACACAUAUAUCCACUUAAAAGUGAAGAUUUAUAUCUUUUGAUGAGAUAAAUCUGGGGAGUAAAUUGAAUAAACUCUUUUUUUAUGUGUAUAUGCUUUUUAUCAUAAAAUCAACUUUUGAUUUUCUAAUCAAUAGUAAGAACUUAUAACUUCUCACUUUUAUCUCUAUAGUGAAUAUUUGCACAGUUUUAUGUUUAUCUGAACCUUACCUCCACCAUACGUAAUAUACAGGGGGUAACUUCACUCUUUCUUAUGUGAACAUACAUGGUAUAAAAAAUGUGAAUAUAUAUUCCAGUAUCCAUAUAUUGUUGGACAUGCACCAAAACUUCCUUGGAAGUUAUAAGCUCAGACCAACAUUCAGCAGUUUAAACCGGUGAAAUUUUAGAGAUAGCUGCUAUAUAGCAACAUUAUCAUUUGAAGAUGUAGUAACUAGCACAUGCGGACUUCCCUACAACUGUCUGAUAAUUAUUGUUUAUGUUAUAUUUUAAUUAUGUCCAGAUCUGUAUAUUAAGAUUUAUUACUUAGAAGUUUGUAAGCUAUCAAUAUCACAUAUCAUAUAUAUUGAUUGAUUAUAUAAUUCUCUUUUGUAUGCAUUCUUAUUCCUUUUGAUUGUAUUUUUUAAUAAUGUUCUUUUAAUUGACAGGGCGUGUUAUGCUUGACAGGUGUAUGCUGCACAAUUUUGCAGGAAACAUUGAGAUGUAUGGGAUAUUAGAUGCAGUAGCUUCCGGGCCAAUUGAAGCACGUAUAAGUUUUAACUCAACAAUGGCAAGUUAUUUCUUUUGCCGGCAACUCGAUUCCGUAUCUAGCGUGUCACUGUUGAAUUACAAUAAUUAAGUAAUGAAUGCAAAAAGAGGUUAUAGGCUCACAAAAAUAAAUAUCAAAUAGAUUUGUGCUAUUAAGAUUAUGAAAGUAAUGAAAAGCAAAAACAGAUUAUAGGCUAACAAAAAUAGUUAUCAAAUUGAUAUGCUCGAUUAAGAUUAUGAGUGUCAGGUGUAUCAAAAAGUAAACCAAUUAGGUGAGUCAACUAUAUGGGUCAAACUAUAUCAUAAUGCCUUAUCAUGAAUCAAUUUUAAAAAUAUACAAUUUAACUUCAAAUCUCUUUUAAUAAUUCGGCCUAAGUUUCCUAUGGUCUCCCUCUACUUCUACUUGGAUGUCAAUCGCUCUUAGUCUAUGCUGAAAACACAUGAAUGUCAAAUGAUACGUAUUAUUGUUGUUGUUGUAAGCCACUAACGCCUACUUGUAAGGAAUUAGGUUAAGUACUAUGCUCAUUACCCUAUCAAAUCAGAUACUUUAACAAAACUUACUAAAGAUAUGAUAAAUGCUAAAAGAAAUACUAUUACUAUAUACACUAGUCAUAUUGGUAAUAAUUUUUCCACAACUUGCUUUCUGAUGAAUUCUUUUUAGACAAAUUCUAUAAAUUGUUAAAUCAUAGAAAUCAUACUUCUUAUACCUGCUUGAUUUUCUGAAGGUUGGAGUUGGAAUGUCGAUGGAAGGUAUAGAACAGAAUCCCAUUGUAUAUGAUCUGAUGUCUGAAAUGGCAUUUCAGCACAAGAAAAUUGAUGUUAAGGUAACAAUGAUAGAAUCUUUUACCGUGGUUGUCCAGUAUUUUGAAUGUAGAGAUUUAUAGUCUUAUUGUUUGCCACGUUUGGUUUAGGAGAAGCUUUCUACAAUAUAAUUUAGUUUCUUUUAGAAUAUUCCAUAUUUAGUUAUUCCCCUCUACUUAGUAAUUUUGGACAUCGGAUAUAAUUCCGACAUGCUUUCUUUUUUUCUCUCCACCCUUGCCUGCAGUCCCUUCUCUGCAGAACAAUCAGAUUAUUGAUUAUCCUCAAAUUUCUGAUAAUUGUGAUCAGAAUAUGUGAAGUUAUAUAAUUUCCUUUAAGCUUGAAUAAAAUACGCAUAACCAGGGGAACAGUGUAGUGUAUUCCUUUUGACAUUUUUUUUAAUUCUUUUCUUGUGGCAAUGUUACUCUGCCUUGUGACCCAGAGGCUAUGAAUAACCAACACAUAUAUGGACACUCGGACACGACACUGAGACAUAUACAACCAUUUAAUUUAAGAAAAUAAAAAUGAUUGAAUGUAACUACUUGUGUCAGUAUCGUACGAGUGUCAGCCAUUCAGACACACCUUCGACAUGAAGUGCUGGUGUCACAUAGCCAGGAGUCAUGGGUUCAAAUUCUGUAAACGGCCUAUUCAUUUGCGGUGCUAAGGCUGCCUGUACAUACCAUCCCCACAUCCCACAUUUUAGAAGUCUCUUAUACUAGACCGCCUUUAAUGUUAUUAUGCAUACUCAAUAAGGUAUUUGGGUUUAACAAUAAUGUGAUUGAAUAUAUUUGAAGUCUAAAGCACUUCCCUCAGUCCAUGCUUUCUUUUAUUUAUUUUCUAUCUUCACUAACUUAGUAUUGUUUUCGGAUUCAAAUGCAUUAUGGUUGUUCCUAUUUCAGGUGUGGGUUGAUUUGUAUUCAACUAGACGAUAUGGAAGACAAGUUCCUUUGAUACAAGAGGGGUGGAAUGUCUUGUAUCACACCAUUUACAAUUGCACUGAUGGAGCCUAUGUAAGUACUUGGUUGAUACUUAUAACCGGCUGCUAGUCAUUUCUUCUAGUCCUGCCAUAUAAGACCAUUUAUUUUGUCAUUAUUUGUUCAAGCUCUUCCAUUGUUCGUUUACUGUCUUUGUCGUUAUUACUACACUUCCAUUCUUUCUUUUAUGAUGUGUUGCAUUUAUUUUAAGCAAAAUUAAUGAUUUGUUGUAUUACAUUUUCUCCUUAACCAACAAAGUAACAGGACAUAUCACAUGACACUUGCCCAUUUCUGAAUCUGCUGUUCUCAUUCAAUCUGACCAGUAACUUUUGUAAACAAAUGACAACCUCAGCUGCAAAUCUUAUGUUCAAUUUCAACUGCACAUGCAUAAAUUAGAAGAUUAUGUUUCAGUUUUACCAGAUUAUUUUGGUGUAUGGGAACAGGACAAAAACAGAGAUGUCAUUGUAGCAUUCCCAGAUGUAGACCCUUCCUUAUUUUCAUUACAGCAUGAACACUCUCGCCUCUAUGGCAAGCCAUACUCGAGAGCAAUUAUCAAGGAAGUAACUGAUUCAUUUGAUCAACCUCACUUAUGGUAUUCAACAUCUGAAGUAAUUCAUGCGUUGGAGCUAUUUAUAUCUAGUGGAGAUGAACUUUCAAAAAGUAGUACUUACAGGUGAGAGAAGUUGACUGCAUAAGAAUUCUCACUCCUCUUUAAGUACGUCAGCAAAAUGUAGGCUGGUGUUUUUUUAUAGUUUGUAAAGGCUCAAUAUCCAGAUUCAUGCUUUGUUAUUUACUCAGGUAUGACCUUGUUGAUGUCACCAGACAAGUCUUAGCAAAAUAUGCAAAUCAGCUGUUCUUUAAGGUCAUUGAGGCUUACCAAUCACAUGAUGUCCAUGGAGUGACCCUACUCAGCCAAAGAUUUCUGGACCUGGUGGAAGAUUUAGACGCAUUGUUGGCUUGCCACGAUGGAUUUCUUCUAGGCCCUUGGUUAGAAAGUGCAAAGCAACAAGCUCAAAAUGAAGAACAGAAGAGACAGGUUUGAUUGACUUAUAUUGGCAUAAAAUUGAAAGUCCAUCUGACCCUACAUAUACUUCUAUUGAUUUACAGUUCUUAACAUUUUCAGUUUGAGUGGAAUGCUAGAACACAAAUCACCAUGUGGUUUGACAACACAGAUGAGGAAGCCAGUUUGCUUCAUGACUAUGGUAUGAAUAACAGUAAACACCUUGCUAUAUUUCUUAGCUUUCACCAUGGCUCUUUUGCUAUAGCAAUAGAGACCGGUUUAGCUUUAGCUUUUUUAAAUGUGAGGAUUCCUCUUUCUCUAUGAAUAGCUUCUCAAGCUAACAAAGAAAAAUAAAAUAAAAGCAGUUUGAUGUUCCGACAUACUAUUGAUUGCAAUUUGCAUGCUGUUUUACUAUUUUCCACAGGAA